GGAAAUCGCCGGGCGGGCACGCAGGUGGCCGCCGGGUCGGCCGGCCCGCACUCCCUGGGUGGUUGCGAGUCCCUCGGCCUCUGGCCCCCGGCCCAGGCAGCCCCGGCGGGCGGCGGGGCAGGGCGGUAAUUGCCCCGAGACGCGGCGCUUAUCCGGGCGCGUUGUGCAAGGCCGCGCGAGCAGAACCUGGGGCAGCGGCUCUCACGCUCGGCUCCGGGCCCGCGGGCCGUCCGCCUCCGUCCUCGCGGGGACCUUCCGCCGCCUGGUGAGCGGGACCCACGCCGCGGGCGCCCGCCGAUGCCACGCGGAAAUGGUGUGCGCAGUGGUCCCCUCCACUGCCCCUCAACACUGGAUUCAGACCGCGGACUAGAUUCCAGUUGCUUCUGCCACUGAUGAGUUCUAGAUGGCCUUGGGAAAUUUACUUGCCUCCUCCAGUCUUGGGCUUCCUCUCUUCCAGUUAAAUGAUGACAACUGAGAAACCACAGUGAGUCUCAACCUCCUUCAUCAAUCCUGAAUGGCUGAAUUGCCUGGAUGAGUAGAAUGACUCUCAAGAUUCAAUGAAAAGUGGCUGUGGUGGCUCAUGCCUAUAAUCCUGAC
rnacentral:lncRNA from 1 species